AUUUUCACCGCAUUUUCAUCAAUUCCUAAAACGCAUUCGAAUUCAAACAUUUGGAUCUCGUUCAAUAUUGCAUGUAAAUUCAAGUGUUACAUAUCAAAAUCUACGUUAGUCCUUUCGGAAGGCAAUGAUCUUUAUUUCGUUACCAGAAAUCAAACAGUUUCCAUUUUUUUUUGGGGGGGGGGGACACCCGGUACAUCGAGAGGCCUAAAGCCCCACAUAAUUAGUGACUAAGUUGUGAUUAUCAUGACCGAUUAAUAUAUUUUUAUCGACGAAACACAAC